rnacentral:rRNA from 1 species
CGUAUCACCCAAGACAACUUUACGGAGUUGACGAUUGACGGAGCGAAGCGACGUCAAAGCGUUCAUUAAAGUCGAGUUGGCUUAGGGAUACGUUCGUUGGGUAGGGGAGCGUUCUGUAAGCCUGUGAAGGUGUGUCGUGAGGCAUGCUGGAGGUAUCAGAAGUGCGAAUGCUGACAUAAGUAACGAUAAAGCGGGUGAAAAGCCCGCUCGCCGGAAGACCAAGGGUUCCUGUCCAACGUUAAUCGGGGCAGGGUGAGUCGACCCCUAAGGCGAGGCCGAAAGGCGUAGUCGAUGGGAAACGGGUUAAUAUUCCCGUACUUGGUGUUACUGCGAAGGGGGGACGGAGAAGGCUAUGUUGGCCGGGCGACGGUUGUCCCGGUUUAAGCGUGUAGGUGUGUGUUCCAGGUAAAUCCGGUUCACUUUAACACUGAGGCGUGACGACGAGGCACUACGGUGCUGAAGCAACAAAUGCCCUGCUUCCAGGAAAAGCCUCUAAGCAUCAGGUAACACGAAAUCGUACCCCAAACCGACACAGGUGGUCAGGUAGAGAAUACCAAGGCGCUUGAGAGAACUCGGGUGAAGGAACUAGGCAAAAUGGUGCCGUAACUUCGGGAGAAGGCACGCUGACACGUAGGUGAAGUGAUUUACUCA